rnacentral:lncRNA from 1 species
CCGGAGUCCUGCUUGGGGAGACUAGAGCACUCACCCUGGGCCUGCUGGAGAGUCCCCGGAGAGAGGGUCGCCGCCCGCCGGCUCCGGGGCACUCGGGUGAGCGCUCGCAGAGGCCGUUGACCGAGCGCACCGAGGCGCCCGGGCAAAGAAGCGGCGGAGCGGCCGCGACGGGCCGGGACAGACGCGAGAACGGCCAGGACUGACCCCUUCCAGGAGCCGUAGCGGAAGUAGGUUUCUGGUCAUGUGACGAGAGAAGGGCGGAUGUUGCAUGCAGGCUCCUGAGACGUCGACGCGGAGCCAUUUUUGUCGUGGGCAAAGUACUUCCGUCUCAGGGAAGGGGGUGAAGCAGCAGAGGAUGGGCUUCCUGCCUGCGUGAGAGUCUCCACACACGGGGUUUGUUAUCUCCUUUGAGGGUAGAUCAGAAGCAAGUCUCUCUCACUACCCCCUGCACCGCCGGUCCAGUCCAGUAUAUGGGAAAUAGUUUGGAACUGAAGAAAACAACUUGUUAAGCUCAAUUAAGUAACUGUGGAAUGUAUCUGUAUACUUAAGAACAUGUUUUAAGACAUAUAGCAGCUGUGUACAGUACAGUAAGGUUUUACCCAGUGGUCUCUUUGAAAAGAAAAGUGUUCAAGGGCUCUGCUUCUCCUAUGACACUGGCUUGAGAAAGGGCUGGAGAAGAUGAUGAGUGGUUAAAAGCACUGACUGACUGCUCUUCCAGAGAUCCUGAGUUCAAUUCCCAGUAACCACAUGGUGGCUCACAACCACCUGUAAUGGGAUCUGAUGCUCUCUUCUGGAUCUCAUGGCUGGCUUCCAUUUUGUGUGCUCAAUGGUGACUGACACUCACGGCUGCUCAUCUCACCUCCAUCUCCCAGGUGCUGGAACUACAAGUGUGAGAGAAGAUGCUACUCAACUGCCUCCAAAGGGACAGUUUCUGAAGCAACAACUACAUAUCUUGGAUCCUUAAAUCCUUGAAUAUCUGAUAGAAAAAUAUCUUUUCCCUUUACAAAAACAUGCACCCAAGGACUUUACAUACAACUUAGGUUAGUGGGUCACUCGGGAUGCUACAGAUUUCUCCAGGAAGGGCCAUGAAAUCCCUCACUUAAAAGCUCUGCUUCUGGGGCUGGAGAGAUGGCUUGGCAGUUAAUAGGCUCUUGCAGGGGUCCAGAAUUCAAUCCCCAGCAACCACAUGCUGGCUCACAGCCAUCCAUAGUGAGAUCUGUUAUGCAGGUGUAGAUGCAGGCAGAAUACUGUGUACAUAGUAAAUAAAUAAAUAAAUCUUAAAA